ACGCUCGACACCUACGGGAGGCAGCAGUGGGGAAUAUUGCACAAUGGGGGAAACCCUGAUGCAGCGACGCCGCGUGGAGGAAGAAGGUCUUCGGAUUGUAAACUCCUGUCCCAGGGGACGAUAAUGACGGUACCCUGGGAGGAAGCACCGGCUAACUACGUGUCAGCAGCCGCGGUAAUCUGAGCGGGCUGGCAAGGC
rnacentral:rRNA from 1 species